rnacentral:rRNA from 1 species
UCUUCGGAUGAUUUAUUGGGCGGCGAGCGGCGGACGGGUGAGUAAUGGCUGGGAACCUGCCUGGUAGAGGGGGAUAACCACUGGAAACGGUGGCUAAUACCGCAUGAUGUCUUUGGACCAAAGAGGGGGACCUUAUGGCCUCUCGCUACCGGAUGGGCCCAGUUGGGAUUAGCUAGUUGGUGGGGUAAAGGCUCACCAAGGCGACGAUCCCUAGCUGGUUUGAGAGGAUGAUCAGCCACACUGGAACUGAGACACGGUCCAGACUCCUACGGGAGGCAGCAGUGGGGAAUAUUGCACAAUGGGCGCAAGCCUGAUGCAGCCAUGCCGCGUGUGUGAAGAAGGCCUUCGGGUUGUAAAGCACUUUCAGCCGUGAGGAAGGCAUUGUACUUAAUACGUGCAGUGUUUGACGUUAGCGGCAGAAGAAGCACCGGCUAACUCCGUGCCAGCAGCCGCGGUAAUACGGAGGGUGCGAGCGUUAAUCGGAAUUACUGGGCGUAAAGCGCAUGCAGGCGGUCUGUUAAGCAAGAUGUGAAAGCCCCGGGCUUAACCUGGGAAAGUCAUUUUGAACUGGCAGGCUAGAGUCUUGUAGAGGGGGGGUAGAAUUUCAGGUGUAGCGGUGAAAUGCGUAGAGAUCUGAAGGAAUACCGGGUGGCGAAAGGCGGCCCCCUGGACAAAGACUGACGCUCAGAUGCGAAAGCGUGGGGAGC